rnacentral:lncRNA from 1 species
GCUAUUUAUUCGUAUUAUUUGAUUGCGUUUAAAACGCCUCAGUUUAAAAGUGUAUAACACCAUUUUCUACAUUUGAAAAUGCCUGUACCAAGUCAGGAUUAUGACAGUUGUUGUCCAUUCGUUUUUGAUGUGUUUUGUCAUUUGAUUUUGCCAUGUAAUUAGGGACUUUACGAUUUGAUUUUCCUCUGAGUUCAGUAUUUUUGUGAUUUUACUUUUGACAAGUGGGCGUUACAGACGAACGUACACAUAAUCUGACCCAGUCAAUUGAUAACCUGAGCGGACCAACAUAUGUUCUUUUACACGCUGCUUUGAAAAUGAUUCUAUGUCAAUCAGUAAAAAAAAUAUAAAUUAAAAAAAUGUAAACCCCAUCAUUAUGAAAAAUGGUAUUUAUUUAAGAUACUGUACGCUCGUAUGGCUGAUUAUGCAUAAUUUGGUUGUUCAAUUUCUUCUCAACUAUUAAAAAGGAUGAUAGAAAAAAUCUUCAACUAUAUUGAGUUGAAACAGAUAACAUUAAUUUGGACAAUUGUUUUAACGUCGUAUGAAUGCAAUAACAGUAACCAUCUGUAUAUGUUAAAAACACGCUAAAUGUAAGCAUUAAAAGUUUUAAAAAAAUCUGUUUAAUGUCAAGUUUAAUAAAUCUAGUGUGUUCGCUUUCUGUAGAGUCGCGUAUUUCACUGAUUCGUCUAUUUUAAUCCACAACAAUGAUGAUGUCGCAUAACAGUAAGUCAUGUGAUUUCCCGUAUAUACCAGAUUGGUUACAGUUUUAAUCAUCAGAAUUUAUAUGCCAACCAGUACCAUUACUUACCCUAAAGAUUCACAGGAUACACGCA